rnacentral:tRNA from 1 species
GGGAAUGUGGCUCAGUGGUAGAGUGCUUGCCUUCCAUGCACAAGGUUCUGGGCUCAAUCUCCAGCACGUCCC